ACUACCAGCUAUAUAACUCGCAACUCACAACUGUUAACCCAGUGAAGCUAAGCAGGUGUGAGCCUGGUUAGUACCUGGAUGGGAGACCUCCUGGGAAAAACUAAGGUUGCUACUGGAA
rnacentral:rRNA from 1 species